ensembl:lncRNA
UGGCAGUAAUCAAAUCCUCCGGAUAACAGCUGCCCAGUGUGCUGCAGUUCACGCUAUCCAGUCACUCACCAGGAUCAAACUUACCCACCCAUUUAUUUACAGACAGCCGAACUAACCAUUAGCACACAACACCUUGGACUUGUUUAGACAAUACAGUGGGGCAAAAAAGUAUUUAGUCAGCCACCAAUUGUGCAAGUUCUCCCACUUAAAAAGAUGAGCCCUGUAAUUUAUCAUAGGUACACUUCAACAAUGACAGACAAGAUGAGAAAAAAAAAAAUUCCAGAAAAUUACAUUGUAGGAUUUUUAAUGAAUUUAUUUGCAAAUUAUGGUGGGAAAUAAGUAUUUGGUCAAUAACAAAAGUCAAUACUUUGUUAAAUACCCUUUGUUGGCAAUGACACUGGUCAAACGUUCUGUAAGUCUUCACAAGGUUUUCACAUACUGUUGCUGGUAUUUUGGCCCAUUACUCCAUGCAGAUCUCCUCUAAAGCAUUGAUGUUUUGGGGCUGUUGCUGGGCAACACGGACUUAACUCCCUCCAAAGAUUUAUGGGGUUGAGAUCUGCAGACUGGCUAGGCCACUCCAGGACCUUGAAAUGCUUCUUAUGAAGCCACUCCUUCGUUGCCCGGGCGGUGUGUUUGGGAUCAUUGUCAUGCUGAAAGACCCAGCCACAUUUCAUCUUCAAUGCCCUUGCUGAUGGUAGGCUUUGUUACUUGGUCCCAGCUCUCUGCAGGUCAUUCACUAGGUCCCCCUGUGUGGUUCUGGGAUUUUUACUCACCGUUACUGUAUCAUUUUGAUCCCACGGUGUGAGAUCUUGCGUGGAUCCCCAGAUCGAGGGAGAUUAUCAGUGGUCUUGUAUGUCUUCCAUUUCCUACUAAUUGCUCCCACAGUUGAUUUCCUCAAACCAAGCUGCUUACCUAUUGCAGAGUCAGUCUUCCCAGCCUGGUGCAGGUCUACAAAUUUGGUUUCUGGUGUCCUUUGACAGCGCUUGGGUCUUGGCCAUAGUGGAGUUUGGAGUGUGACUGUUUGAGGUUGUGGACAGGUGUCUUUCAUACUGAUAACAAGUUCAAACAGGUGCCAUUAAUACAGGUAACAAGUGGAGGACAGAGGAGCCUCUUAAAAAAGAAGUUACAGGUCUGUGAGAGACAGAUAUCUUGCUUGUAGGUGACCAAAUACUUAUUUUCCACCAUAAUUUGCAAAUAAAUUAAUUUUAAAGAAAUCCUACAAUGUGAUUUUCUGGAUUUGUUCAUUUUGUCUGUCAUAGUUGAAGAGUACCUAUGAUGAAAAUUACAGGCCUCUCAUCUUUUUAAGUGGGAGAACUUGCACAAUUGGUGGCUGACUAAAUACUUUUUUACCCGACUGUAUAUACACACGUUUAAGAUAGUCACAAAUGUUAUUUUGAAAGAAUAUACAUGUUUGUUUUUUGAAACAGCAUUGGCUUUCAAACAUCCUCACAUUUGUGAGCGAACAUUAACAUCAAACAAUUUUCAUUAAAGAAAGCUACAUCUAGAAUGCAGGAAAUCCAGUACGCUCGAGGCUUCCCUGACCAAUCACGUUGACAUGCUGCAUCGCACAGUUGAUAAGCCAGUCGGUACGGUGGCUGAAGAGGUACAAAAACACCCACAUUGAACCACAACUCCAAGACACAAAUCUAAUUUCUUAAUGAGUAACGAAAAAUCCCAGGUGGAGUCGACAAGUUCAGCCCCUCUUUAAUGUUAUUACAAGCAAUAUUUAGUUAUUUCAAGGUUACAGUUGUGUGUCUAGUACAACAGGGAAUUCAUGUAAGACUUCAGUGUUUAAAUGCAAUAUUCAAUUAAGGCUAGUAAAAGUCUCAAAGCACAGCAACUAGACAGGUUGGUUGUUUCGCAACAAGCACUAUGGAGCAAAACAAACAGUUGGCAUAGAUUGAAUAAAUAUAAUUGACAUGUUGUCAAUGUUUAUUGAAAACAUACAGUUACACAAUGAGCACUUGUCUCAUAUACAUUGCUAUUGUUGGUUUGCUAGCCAGCAAAUUUGCCAUAUUAGCAUUGACAUGAAAUCAGUCAAAACACCUUAACAAGACACAUAUCAAGAACAAUAUGAAACUAGUCACUUACGAUUCCCCACAGGCAGUUUGUCAUUGUUGGAAGCUGUCUGGCCAUCCAGAAAUCACCAUUGAAACAUACGAAUCAUUUGUGACGUUAUCAGCUAACCCAUCUAUAGUGCACGCACAGCAAACUGUAUUAAGUGUAACAAAAAAUGCAUUCAUCACUCUCAAAAAUGUCUGAAAGACUUUAAAGUGCUACAUGCAUGGAAUAGCCAAGCCCACAAACACACAAAAAAAACAAGAAUUACCUUUGCUGACUGUCUCCAAGUCCUCACAGACACUGAUCCGACAAGAUGUACUCAGAAUUUCACAAUAAACACAGAGCCUAGAUAUAAUUAUUUUCAACUGUGAUUGGGAGUUCAGUCCAUAGGCUAGAGCUAGUCUGGGGACUUGGAGGUAGCAGCGGCUCUUUUUUCCUCUUCCUGGUUGGCAGGAAAUGCAGCCAUUUUAAGAUAACAGGAGGAGACGCAUGCUCCGCAGUCACACCUGCAAUCAAUUAAGACAAAACACAAAGAAUCAGUUCGAACAGACCAAUAGGAGGCAUGUAACAUGACUAUGUUAAUUAACUCAACAAUAUCAGCUACACCCUGUCACAUCCUUGCCCACUUAAAAUGAAAAGGUGUCCCACAUUUGCUAAUAUCAAACACUACAUAUCUGAAAAGGAAGCUUCUUCAGGUUUCUUGAAGUCAACUAGUGCAGCUCUGUCAGUUUGGGUCAUGAUGGGAGUAGGAACUGCCUACAGUCAGAGACAGAGGAGGAAGCGAAACAUCUCACUCCUUCAUUUUUUCUGGUUCAUGUACAGUACAGUCAAUUGACUAAUUUUACCAGACCCGAGAGCCACUCCUUAAUAAUUAGACCGGAACUGUGACCAUUUUCUUCAAUGGUAAACGGCCUGAAUAAGACUUCUUCAUUUAUCCACCAUCUUUUCUAAAGUUUAUUUGCUGACAAAAACAUUACCCAAGGGCCCUCAGCCCACAAUCUCCCCCAGCCUAAUCCCAUCUGCAUACAUACACUUUACAAAAUCCUUGCCAUAACAUCUUGCUUUUUACCAGCCUUAUUUUCCUUCCCUUUACUUUCCUCUCCUUUCCUUUCCUCGCAUGUCCCAUCACAUACUGUUAACAGUUUUCUUUGAGUUUGGUCUUUAAAAAGUUACUUUAAGUUAAUUAGGUUAUAAUGCAUGGUUGUCAUCGUUUUCAUGUCUUAACCUAAAUGUGUUGUGUUGUUUAUUUGUUUGCAAUGUUUGCUUGCUUCAUGGCUGUCAUGGUAAUUAAGUCCUAUUGUCCCCAGUCCGUAUUGUGUCCAAGAAAACAAAGAAACAAAAACAAAAAACAAAACAAAAAAAGCCCUCCGCCCCUUUUCCUUAGAUGGGAAAAAAGUUGUUUUGACAUCUGGGAGUCCAUAGAAACCUUCCACCAGCGAUGUUCUUGGCAGAAACUCCACGAGUCACGCCAAUCCUUCAGACUUGGAGGAUUAUUUUGAACAUUGUCACCAGAGAGCCUCCUUGCCUCUCUCCAACCUGUCAAGGCUUUGGGCUUUACUGUCUCUGUAACCGUCAAGUCUGCAGUGUGCUGCUUGGCUAAAGGUUUGGGCGUCUUCCAAGCAUCCCCCCAUUCUGUAAGAUUUACAUUGUCAUCCAAAGGCUUAGUAUUCAGUCGUUUAUCACUUUGUUCCUCUGUGAACUCUGACCAUUCCUGCUCCCAAGCCUCCAGAGAUACUUGUUCUUUAAUGUUCAACAACAGUGGUUGAGUCCUCCAGGCUUCUGACCAUUUAUUGACAUCAAGUAUGUCCGAUGAAGCCUGAGUUUUUUGGGGGGCAUCAAAUUGCGAUUUCUUGGGUGGUUCAUGUGUCUUUGUGGGUGGUGUGGGUGGAGGUACCACCUUAGCAUGGACUCCAAACCUGGCCUCCAAACUUGGCCUCCAAACCUGGUCUCCAAACCUGGUCUCCAAAUGUGCUGCUUCAAUGUCAGCAUCAUUAUCAAGGCUCAUCACAAUUUUUCUGGAGUCAGACAUGUCAUCGCCCGUCCCUGUCUUAACAGUUUCUGCAAUCAUCUGAUUCUCUGUGUGCUGCUUGAGUGAAGGCUUGGACGUCCUACAAACUUUCUUCCACCAUGGAAGAUUUACUGUGUCAUCCUGAGGAGGUGACGGUUUUAUGGCAAGCAGCUUCUUCUCCUUGGGUUGUGGGGCUGGGGGCUUUGCGCUCUUGGGUGCGGAGGGCUUAUUUUCCUCAGAGCUCUCCUUCCUCAGCUGAAGGAGUGGUUCAUGUUUUUUCUUAUGAGUUGGUGGCUCAGAUUUCUGUAUAGUUGAUGGAGGUGCCACUUUAGACCUGAAGUUAGACAUGUCCCUGCUCUUUCCUUUCUUCUCCACUGCCGUAGAUGUUCUAUUUCUGCUGAUUGCCAAGCGAUUCUGCCACUCUCUGAAAGCCUUUACUUUUUCUGUAAUGCCCCUGUUUUCUGUGUGCUGCUUGGGUAAAGGCCUGGACAUCUUCCAAGAAUCCUUCCACUCUUUAAGGUCAACUUUGUCAUCCAAAGGUUUAACUUUCAGUAGUUUGUUGCUUUUUUCCCGGCUGAACGUUGGCCAUCCCCGCUGCCAGGACAUUGUUUGGUCGUAAAGGAUUCUACUGAACUGCAGUGGUCGACACUUAAAGGGCUUUGACCAUUCACUUGGACCAUUCGGUAGUUCUCUAUCCCUAAUCCCCCUCCACCAUUUUCCCUCAGAUCGUCUUUGUAAGUCUUUGUAUGAGAGAAUGACUUUGGGCAGAGGAGGAGGUGAUGGUUUAGGUGGGGUGGGCUUCUUCUCCACUGGCUUGGGGAUCUCUAUCUUCACCCGUCGUGGUGAUUUCUUGGGAGUGGGUGGGGGUGGAGGUGGGGGCGGGGCUGCGUCUAGUGGAGGAUCAAGCUUAAACCGUUUCAGUAGAGGACAAUACACCAUAUUUCUGCCCUUUCCUUUCUUCUCCAAUGCCAUCAGUCGAAUGUGCCGCUCUUUAAUAAGCCUACGGAUGAACACACAGAACCAUAGCGAAUUAGAAAAAAAACAACACCAUACCAUUAUUGAGGAGAUGAUCAAGAAUAGAGUUGAGGAUGGGGAGAAAAUUAGAGACAGACCACAAAACAGACCAGACCUCAACAACCCCCAUGUCUCUAUUUUCCUGCCCCUCCUUCUCCUGCUGUCCCUUCUCACUGAUCUUCUGGGCUCUGUUCUCCCAAGGGUCUCGAAGCUGGCAGGGGUCGAACGCGAUUCCUUUACCAAACACAGCCCUUUUAUCCCUGUCUGACGACAUCAUGCCACCUCCUGACAGAAAAAAACACAUAGCAUGCAUGACAGCAUGUUAGU